rnacentral:rRNA from 1 species
UACGAAGGGGGCUAGCGUUGUUCGGAAUUACUGGGCGUAAAGGGCGCGCAGGCGGCAUGACGAGUCGGGCGUGAAAGGCCUGGGCUUAACCCAGGAACUGCGCUCGAUACUGUCAGGCUCGAGUGUGGGAGAGGAUGGUGGAAUUCCUAGUGUAGAGGUGAAAUUCGUAGAUAUUAGGAAGAACACCGGCGGCGAAGGCGGCCAUCUGGACCACAACUGACGCUGAGGCGCGAAAGCGUGGGGAGCAAACAGG